rnacentral:ncRNA from 1 species
UAUAAAUAUGGUUCCAAAGGUGAAACUUAGAAAAACUGACGAAGGGCGCCGCCAAGACUGGAGUCUGCGGAUUAAUCUGGAUUUAGCACGGGAAAAAUCGCUUGGCCCAGACGCCGUGCGAAUUGACAGAGUGAGGGCUCUUUUCUGAUUUGCUUGUUGGCAGUGCAUGGCCGCCCUUAGUUGGUGGAGUGAUAUUUUCUGGUUUAUGUACCUCAACUUUUAAUUUUUAAGAAGAAAAACUUUAAUUUGGGGGAACUCAGAGCCCAAAAUUUUACCCACCUUUGAGAAGUUAUCCUCAGUUUUACAAAUGCAAUUGAAUAAUGAUUGGAAACGUACUACUUUCUAGGAGUUCAAAGUAUGGGUAGCUGGAAAAUACGAUUUAAAAGGUUAUAGCAUUCAGCACAUUACGUAGCAGUAUGCUGCACCAGUGUGUUACCAUGGACACCAGAAGCGCACCCAUUGGACACCAAUUGCACCCGUUCCCAGUAAGUCAUUUCAUGAACAUUUUAGGAUUAUAAGAAAUCAAAAUGCAACAUCCCUACCAGUCCCGGUAUAAUUUGCAAAUUUCAGAUCUGGCUUGCCAAUAAAAGUGGCUGCUCUCGCUGUUUUUCGCGAAU